rnacentral:pre_miRNA from 1 species
UGGAAGACUAGUGAUUUUGUUGUUCUGACUUUGAAAGAUGACAACAAAUCACAGCCUGCCAUC